AGGGAAGAUGGCCAUACUCCACUCACACAUGCUGCACUCCAGUCUGGAAAUCCAAGGGAGAGAACAUGUGAGGGGGGAAGAGAGGAGAUGGAAGAAGAUGGGGAAAAAAGCGAAUGAGAUGUUUAUAGACCAUAAGUUGGACCGUUGCUCCUCAGGGCUUUGUUGCUGGGCUGGCUACAACAUCUCAUCUGGUUUCCUGGACUCCUGGAUCCUAAUGUGGCAAUUACCUCCACAAAAGAAUUAUUAUUUGAUAACCCAAGCAUCCACAUUGGGGAAAGGAAAAGGGAAUGCCUCUGCAGGUUUUUGACAUUAUCAUGGCAGCUCACUUUUAUAAAACGCUUUGCAGACUUUCCUACCACCGUGCUAUAAGAGAGACAGUACAAGUAUUGUAUUCUGUGGACAUUUAUUAAAAGACAUUCCUUACAGCUGACUGAUGAUGGGAGUGGAAUGCUUGGGCUUCUGAAUUUUCAUUCAGAUUGGGGUAAGGGUGUGACAGUUUCCCAGACUGGGAUGGUAUGGAAACUUCCAAGAUGAUUUCCCAGACUUCCUCUUUGAUAUAGAAAAAACCCCUUUCUGAAGUGUUAGAAAUGGUAACAACUUUUUGGGAUUCCAGGAUGAUGGUAGGUGGUGAGCUACGGCAACUUUCAGAUUGAUGCUUUGGAUCUUUGAACACAUUAAUCGGUAGAAAAAAAUGAGAAAAGAAUGUUUUCUGAUUUAUUUAAUAACAAGAUGGGAUGUAGAGGGUCUUAUUUAUGAUGUCAAGUACUAUGGGGCCAACUGGAAAUUUAUCUGUGAAUUUGUUAUUGGGAAAAUCGGG